GCAGAUAUAGCUCAGUGGUAGGGUACAGGUUUAGCAUGCAAAAGGUCCUGGGUUCAAUCCCCAGUAUCUCCA
rnacentral:tRNA from 1 species